ACUGCUGGGCACACUGGUGGUCCUGCUAUAGCCANGCUUGUUUGACAUUGAAAGCAAGGUAGAGCUUGGUUAGUACUUGAAUAGGAGGCCACCUGGGAAAAACAGGUGUCUGGGAGUC
rnacentral:rRNA from 1 species